rnacentral:rRNA from 1 species
GAUGAACGCUGGCGGCGUGCCUAAUACAUGCAAGUCGAGCGAACGGACGAGAAGCUUGCGUCUCUGAUGUUAGCGGCGGACGGGUGAGUAACACGUGGAUAACCUACCUAUAAGACUGGGAUAACUUCGGGAAACCGGAGCUAAUACCGGAUGAUAUUUUGAACCGCAUGGUUCAAAAGUGAAAGACGGUCUUGCUGUCACUUAUAGAUGGAUCCGCGCUGCAUUAGCUAGUUGGUAAGGUAACGGCUUACCAAGGCAACGAUGCAUAGCCGACCUGAGAGGGUGAUCAGCCACACUGGAACUGAGACACGGUCCAGACUCCUACGGGAGGCAGCAGUAGGGAAUCUUCCGCAAUGGGCGAAAGCCUGACGGAGCAACGCCGCGUGAGUGAUGAAGGUCUUCGGAUCGUAAAACUCUGUUAUUAGGGAAGAACAUAUGUGUAAGUAACUGUGCACAUCUUGACGGUACCUAAUCAGAAAGCCACGGCUAACUACGUG